rnacentral:rRNA from 1 species
AUUGAACGCUGGCGGCAUGCCUUACACAUGCAAGUCGAACGGUAACAGGUCUUCGGAUGCUGACGAGGGGCGAACGGGUGAGUAAUAUAUCGGAACGUGCCUAGCAGUGGGGGAUAACUACUCGAAAGAGCGGCUAGUACCUCCUGGGAUCUACGGAUUAGACCAGGGGUUAGACAGACCUUGUGUUCCUAGAGCGGACGAGGGCAGCUUAGGUAGGUGGUGGGAUAAAAGCUUACCAAGACGACGAUCUGAAGCUGGUAUGAGAGGACGAUCAGCCACACUGGGACUGAGACACGGCCCAGACUCCUACGGGAGGCAGCAGUGGGGAAUUUUGGACAAUGGGCGAAAGCCUGAUCCAGCAAUGCCGCGUGCAGGAUGAAGGCCUUCGGGUUGUAAACUGCUUUUGUACGGAACGAAAAGCCCCGGGUUAAUACCCUGGGGUCAUGACGGUACCGUAAGAAUAAGCACCGGCUAACUACGUGCCAGCCGCCGCCGUAA